CUGGCGGCGCGUCUUAAGCAUGCAAGUCGAACGGCAAGAGGUAGCAAUACCUCCUAGAGUGGCGGACUGGUGAGUAACACGUGGGUGACAUACCCUUCAGAUGGGGAUAGCUAUUAGAAAUAGUAGAUAAUACCGAAUACGAGCACAGGGGUUAGAGAUCUGUGAGGAAAGGAGCUAAGGCUCCGCUGAAGGAAUGGCCUGCGGCCCAUUAGCUAGUUGGUGAGGUAAGAGCCCACCAAGGCGAUGAUGGGUAUCCGGCCUUAGAGGGUGAACGGACACAUUGGGACUGAGAUACGGCCCAGACUCCUACGGGAGGCAGCAGCUAAGAAUAUUCCGCAAUGGACGAAAGUCUGACGGAGCGACGCCGCCGUGGAUGAAGAAGGCCGGAAGGUUGUAAAAUCCUUUUGAAACUGAAGAAUAAGCGUUGUAGGGAAUGACAGCGUGGUGACAGUAGGUUUUGAAUAAGCAACGGCUAAUUACGUGCCAGCCGCCGC
rnacentral:rRNA from 1 species